rnacentral:rRNA from 1 species
UGGCAAUGAUGGCGAAGAGGUCACACCCGUUCCCAUUCCGAACACGGAAGUUAAGUUCUUCAGCGCCGAUGGUAGUUGGGGGUUUCCCCCUGUGAGAGUAGGACGUUGCCAGGCU